GGGCGGUUAGCUCAGUUGGUUAGAGCGCAUGCUUCACACGCAUGAGGUCACAGGUUCGACUCCUGUAUCGCCCACCA
rnacentral:tRNA from 1 species